rnacentral:rRNA from 1 species
GAUGAACGCUGGCGGCGUGCCUAAUACAUGCAAGUCGAGCGAACAGACGAGGAGCUUGCUCCUCUGACGUUAGCGGCGGACGGGUGAGUAACACGUGUAUAACCUACCUAUAAGACUGGGAUAACUUCGGGAAACCGGAGCUAAUACCGGAUAAUAUAUUGAACCGCAUGGUUCAAUAGUGAAAGACGGUUUUGCUGUCACGUAUAGAUGGAUCCGGGCCGUAUUAGCUAGUUGGUAAGGUAACGGCUUACCAAGGCAACGAUGCGUAGCCGACCUGAGAGGGUGAUCGGCCACACUGGAAGUGAGACACGGUCCAGACUACUACGGGAGGCAGCAGUAGGGAAUCUUCCGCAAUGGGCGAAAGCCUGACGGAGCAACGCCGCGUGAGUGAUGACGGUCUUCGGAUCGUAAUACUCUGUUAUUAGGGAAGAACAACUGUGUAAGUAACUAUGCACGUCUUGACGGUAACUAAUCAGAAAGCCACGGCUAACUACGUG